AAAUUAAGUGAUGCAUGUUCAAUAUUACACCACACGGGGGCAGCAGAGCAACAUGCCAAAUAGAUGCCUUACUGUCUAGUAAUCUCUGAACUGGUUCUUGACCUGCAGUUUCUAUACUCAAGCAAGGCAAUAAAUAAUAUGCCAGGAUUAGUUAGCUCGGAGAAAUUUAGAAAAAGCUUAUGUAAGAAUUUCUGCUCUAUCAAGUAGGGGCACAACUACAUAUUUUUGGCAUAUAAAUACACACCCCUGACUGUAUAUAUUCUUGACAGGUUAAUGUAUUUUUCCCUGAAUACUCUGGGCCUUGUGAAAUAUCCUCAUCUUCCCAAGGAACACCUGUGGUCGGUCCUUACUACCAAGUAGACUAUUUUUAAUAUAGUGUUAUACUAUGGCAUAUAAUACACAGUUAAUGCAGUGGAACGAGAUUCUGGUGAACAGUGGAAUGACUUUAUUGUAUAAGAUCUUCAGGUACACUCUCUGUAUCUUGUAGACUCAUUUGUUAGGAUUUCCCCCAUUUUAUUUAAUUCCCACUCAUCCUGUGCACAGUAUCUCCAAAUACCCUCAGUGUCCACUUUAUUAGGAACACCUGUACACCUGCUCAUCGAUGCCAAUCAUGUGUCAGCAGCGCAAUGCAAAAAAAAAGAAAAAAGACUCAUAAGGAUACAUGUCAAAAGCUGAACAAUACUCAUCCUAAUAGAUCACACUAUUCUCCUUGAUAGAUUACAAAAUGUUGUUGGCAUUAAGGUAAAGGUCCUCUCCUGGCUCAGGUCUUAUUUGACUGAUCAAAUGGAGAGUUCUCUAUGCAUACGGAGAUAAAGUUUGGUGUUCCACAAGGUUCUGUUUUAGGCCCACUGCUCUUUACUUUAUAUAUGCUACCUCUAGGUCAAAUUAUUCGUAAACAUGGAAUUAGCUUCCACUGUUAUGCUGAUGAUACACAGUUGUAUGUUUCACCGAAGCCAGAGGACAGACAGCAGCUUAGUAAAGUUGAGGAUUGUGUAAAGGACAUUAGACGGUGGAUGUUUAUUUACUUUCUCUUACUUAAUUCUGAUAAGACAGAAAUACUUGUACUAGGACCACGUGUAGCUAGAAGUAAGCUUUCUGAUCACAUGGUUACUCUGGAUGGUCUUUCUGUUUCAUCAUGUGCAGCAGUAAAAGACCUUGCAGUGAUUAUUGACUCCAGUCUAUCAUCUGAUGCUCAUUUAGAUAAUAUUACUAUGAUAGUCUUCUUUCAUCUCAGAAAUAUUCCUAAGAUAAGAAAUAUAUUGUCACUACAUGAUGCAGAAAUACUAGUUCAUGCUUUCGUCACCUCUAGACUAAAUUACUUUAAUGCCUUACUGUCUGGAUGUCCCAGUAGGAGCAUAAACAAAUUCCAGUUAGUCCAGAAUGCAGCUGCUAGAGUCCUAACUAGAACCAGAAGAUACGACACAUCACCCCGAUCUUAUCCACACUGCAUUGGCUCCCAGUGAAAUCUCGCAUUGAUUAUAAAAUACUAUUAUUAACCUAUAAAGCACUAAAUGGUCUCGCGCCACAGUAUCUAAGCGAUCUUUUGGUUUUCUAUGAUCCGCCACGCCUACUUAGAUCAAAAGAUGCAGGCUAUCUGACGAUACCUCGAAUAGUGAAGGCUACAGCAGGGGGAAGAGCUUUCUCUUAUAGAGCCCCACAGUUAUGGAACAGUCUUCCUAUUAGUGUUCGGGACUCAGACACAGUCUCAGUGUUUAAGUCUAGGCUUAAAACGUGUUUGUUUACUCAAGCUUACCCUGACUAGACUUUCUGUUACGCUAAGCACAGUCCUAAUAAUCUUUUCUCUCCCUCUCUCCUUCUGCCGAGCCACACACGAUUUUAUGGAGAUACUAGAGAUCCUGAUCCUCUCUGCUCUCCGGACCUGCCUGAUCCGUCUCGGAUGUCCUGCCUCUGGAUGGAGCUCUCAUCUACUCCAAUUCCAGCUUGCUGGGACUACGGCUGCUUCUAAGACCAAACAGACUUCAUAUAAAUCCAUAAUGAACUUUUUCAUACUAUCUGUUGUUCCCCAGAUGAGGACGGGUUCCCUUCUGAGUCGGGUUCCUCUCAAGGUUUCUUCCUCUUAUCAUCUUAGGGAGUUUUUCCUCCUCUUUCACCACCGGCUCGCUCAGUUGUGAUAAAUCUGUAUACCGUGUUUAUAUAUUUCUGUGAAGCUGCUUUGAGACCAUGUCUAUUGUAAAAAGCGCUAUACAAAUAAAAUUGAAUUGAAUUGAAAUUAAUCCUAAUUUUUUACUACUUGGGCGUGGAAAGCUAGCAGUAAUGAGAACUGUUUACGGUCACAUUCUUACGAAGCCAGUUAGCACCAGCGAUCAUCUUUGUUAGCAUUUUUCAUGGAAAGGUUAGGCUAUAUACGGGGCAUGCGUCACUGAUUAGUGAACCAUUUCAAAAUGAUUUGACUGGUGUAAAAUAUAUAUAUAUUUUUCAUCAUUUUUACUUUAUUUUCUUUACAUUUAUCUGUUUAUUGGUGCUUUUUUUGUUUUUUUUGCACUGUAAAAUCAUCCUAACUGUUUAUUUUAUACUGGUAGGACAACCUGAUAGGGUAUUUCACACAGGUGUUAGGUGUAUUUCGCACUUAGGUGUUCCUUUUAGCCCAAAACAGAGACAACUUGGGUGUUAAGAUCUCAACAGUGUGUUUUACUAGUGUAGAGAUACAGACUGGGGACGAAGAAAAACCAAUGGUAAUGUUGCAUUAUAGGAGACAUUUGUUUGUUUUUUGCUGCCAUGGUUUGUUUGUACUUGUCCCCUUAGAGCAACGCGUCACUGCAAAUCAACACCAUCGUUCUACUGCCUGAUCACCUCGGAACAUUUCUGUCCUAAUGGGCAUGGUAUCUAUUGGACAAUUCCACCCAAUCCAGGACUUUUUGAAUGGUUUGAUGAGGAUGAAAAUGAUGUAAAUUAUACACUAUGGCCUUCUCAGUCAACACAUCUCAAUACAAUUUAACCUUUGUGCAAGAUUUUGCAGCAAUGUUCAGACAGUUCCCCUGACACCUUACUAACAAACCUUAUGUUGCAGCUGUUUUUUUUUUUUUUUUUAAAUCGCCACCCUUCUGCAAGAUGGCUAGAUAUUAGUUGAGAGGAAGUACCAAAACGAAGUAGGUCUCUUUUGACAGUUCAGACACACUGUGAACUUGAUAGGUUUGUCUUUCACAUGUGGUUUGGGGUGUUUUUCAAACAUGGCAUACUAUAUACACAGUACAGCAAAAAAAUGUUUCAUCUCAUGAUUUCAAGAACAGCAAAUAUAAAAAGGACUUUCCCAUCUCUGGCAGUGUACAUUUGUCAGAAUUCCUCCUCUAUUCCCCAUGUGCUGUGCAAGAAUGUAUAAACAGCUCAUUAGCAAGCCCGUCAUGCCAUCAGACUCGGUGGUAGAACCGAGGGUUUAGGAAAUAAUGCAGUAAAUACACACUCAAAGAAGUGUUGCUUUGACAAAGAUAGACCAGAGAAGUGUUUAUGACCGUCUAUAAGUGCUGAUUGCUGUGUGUUACUGAUUACUGUCUUUCAUUAACAGGAAAUGGUCAAAAGAUAAACUCCACCAUUUGCACCUCAUAGAAAAAAAAACAACAGCAUGACGUCAUGAACUUCACUGUGAGAAGAUCGCAGUAGAAAACACUGAACGACGCCUCAGGCACCAGGAUGCUAAGACUUUGUCUUGCUCUAAUGCUCGUCAGUGUUCUUGGCGCGUCUCUGCUGGCGGUGAACUUGUAGCAGCCCAGUCUCCUUCAGUGCUGCUGAUAGAUGGUUCCACUGAGGGUCUGAUGGACCAGAAGUGACAAGGGGCUACAGUUUCUCCAUCAUCUGCUCCACUGAACCUCAGUAUACAGGAGGUUCCUUCCACUUGAAGAUCAUUGAAUCCAACCUCACCAGAACUCAGUCGGCUGUUAACCACUCAGCCGUCUUCCGUUUUCUUGAAGCAGAUUUUGUCCAUCAGGGAAACUACAGCUGUACUUAUAAAAAUUAACAUGUCUUUAACCUCUAAUGCCAAUUACUUCAAUGGCAGCACCAUAAAAGCGUCUCUUCCACUCUACAUUGGUGUCGGAGUGACCGCAGGACUGCUCCUCAUCUUAGUUCCAGUCAUCAUUUGCAUUGUGAAGGCACAGAAAAGACGAAAAUAUCAGAUGUAUAUGAAGAAGGAAACACAGCACGCCGAAGACACCGACGCGAGUCCCCAAGUAGAAGACGAAUCAGACGACGUAGACGAGGCAGACGACGCAGACGACGAACCUGAUUAUGAAAAUAUGGACACUGUGCCCCACCAGACGCAUGAUUCAGACGACUCUGAUAACGACUACCUUAAUGUUGAUGUUUGUGGACAGAGAAGCGCUCUCGUAGACAAUGACCACGAAGGUGAAGGAAUUUAUGCAAAUUGUUUAGAGUAGUGUGGAGAACUAAACAAUCAUCCAAUGUCCACAGGCCAGAAAGAAUAACAAGUUUCAAUUGGAUAACUCACUUUUUUUCUUUAUUAAAGUACUAUUUUUGACUUUUA